CCCUUAGAUGUUCUGGGCUGCACACGUGCUACACUGGCAGGUUCAGCGAGCUUCAUGCCCUGAUCUGAAAGGAAUGGGAAAUCUUUUCAAAACCUGCCGUGCUUGGGAUAGAUGUUUGCAAUUAUUCAUCUUCAACGAGGAUUGCCUUGUAAGCGCACGUCAUCAGCGUGCAUUGAAUACGACCCUGUAUUCUGUACACACCGCCCGUCGCUCCUACCGAUUGAAUGCUCAGGUGAGCCAUUCGGACUUUCAUCAUGCUGGUUUCCAGUUUUGAUGAAGGAAAGUCUUGCGAACCUUAUCAUUUAGAGGAAGGAGAAGUCGUAACA
rnacentral:rRNA from 1 species